rnacentral:rRNA from 1 species
UACGAAGGGGGGCUAGCGUUGUUCGGAAUUACUGGGCGUAAAGCGCACGUAGGCGGACAUUUAAGUCAGGGGGUGAAAAUCCCCAGAGCUCAACUCUGGAACUGCCUUUUGAUACUGGGGUGUCUUUGAGUAUGGAAGAGGUGAGUGGAAUUCCGAGUGUAGAGGUGAAAUUCGUAGAUAUUCGGAGGAACACCAGUGGCGAAGGCGGCUCACUGGUCCAUUACUGACGCUGAGGUGCGAAAGCGUGGGGGAGCAAAACAGG